rnacentral:rRNA from 1 species
AGAGUUUGAUCCUGGCUCAGAUUGAACGCUGGCGGCAUGCCUUACACAUGCAAGUCGAACGGCAGCGCGGGGGCAACCCUGGCGGCGAGUGGCGAACGGGUGAGUAAUACAUCGGAACGUGUCCAGUCGUGGGGGAUAACCAGUCGAAAGACUGGCUAAUACCGCAUGCGCCCGAAAGGGGAAAGCGGGGGACCGCAAGGCCUCGCGCGAUUGGAGCGGCCGAUGUCCGAUUAGCUAGUUGGUGAGGUAACGGCUCACCAAGGCGACGAUCGGUAGCUGGUCUGAGAGGACGACCAGCCACACUGGGACUGAGACACGGCCCAGACUCCUACGGGAGGCAGCAGUGGGGAAUUUUGGACAAUGGGGGCAACCCUGAUCCAGCCAUGCCGCGUGUGUGAUGAAGGCCUUCGGGUUGUAAAGCACUUUCGGACGGAACGAAAUCGCGCGGGCGAAUAUCCCGCGUGGAUGACGGUACCGUAAGAAGAAGCACCGGCUAACUACGUGCCAGCAGCCGCGGUAAUACGUAGGGUGCGAGCGUUAAUCGGAAUUACUGGGCGUAAAGGGUGCGCAGGCGGCCUCGCAAGUCAGGCGUGAAAUCCCCCGAGCUUAACUUGGGAAUUGCGUUUGAAACUACGAGGCUGGAGUGUGGCAGAGGGAGGUGGAAUUCCACGUGUAGCGGUGAAAUGCGUAGAUAUGUGGAGGAACACCGAUGGCGAAGGCAGCCUCCUGGGCCAACACUGACGCUCACGCACGAAAGCGUGGGGAGCAAACAGGAUUAGAUACCCCUGGUAGUCCACGCCCUAAACUAUGUCUACUAGUUGUUGGGGGGGAGUUAAA